GAUGAACGCUAGCUACAGGCUUAACACAUGCAAGUCGAGGGGCAGCAUGAACUUAGCUUGCUAAGUUUGAUGGCGACCGGCGCACGGGUGAGUAACACGUAUCCAACCUGCCGAUGACUCGGGGAUAGCCUUUCGAAAGAAAGAUUAAUACCCGAUGGCAUAGUUCUUCCGCAUGGUAGAACUAUUAAAGAAUUUCGGUCAUCGAUGGGGAUGCGUUCCAUUAGGUUGUUGGCGGGGUAACGGCCCACCAAGCCUUCGAUGGAUAGGGGUUCUGAGAGGAAGGUCCCCCCACAUUGGUACUGAGACACGGACCAAACUCCUACGGGAGGCAGCAGUGAGGAAUAUUGGUCAAUGGCCGAGAGGCUGAACCAGCCAAGUCGCGUGAAGGAAGAAGGAUCUAUGGUUUGUAAACUUCUUUAUAGGGGAAUAAAGUGGAGGACGUGUCCUUUUUGUAUGUACCCUAUGAAUAAGCAUCGGCUAACUCCGUG
rnacentral:rRNA from 1 species